AUUUAUGAAUAUGAUGAUUAUUCUAACUUAAGGAACUGAUCGGUCUGUGGUCAAUUUUCUGCCAACCAAAUGGUCCACUGUUCCUUAUUUAGUGCACUACUAGAGACCCGGGACCAUUGGGAUGUGGUCAGGGGUGGUGUGCUCUGUAUGGAUGUGGUCAGGGGUAGUGUGCUCUGUAUGGAUGUGGUCAGGGGUAGUGUGAUCAGUAUGGAUGUGGUCAGCGGUGGUGUGCUCUGUAUGGAUGUGGUCAGGGGUAGUGUGCUCUGUAUGGAUGUGGUCAGGGGUGGUGUGCUCUGUAUGGAUGUGGUCAGCGGUGGUGUGCUCUGUAUGGAUGUGGUCAGCGGUGGUGUGCUCUGUAUGGAUGUGGUCAGGGGUGGUGUGCUCUGUAUGGAUGUGGUCAGGGGUGGUGUGAUCAGUAUGGAUGUGGUCAGGGGUAGUGUGCUCUGUAUGGAUGUGGUCAGCGGUGGUGUGCUCUGUAUGGAUGUGGUCAGGGGUGGUGUGCUCUGUAUGGAUGUGGUCAGCGGUGGUGUGCUCUGUAUGGAUGUGGUCAGCGGUGGUGUGCUCUGUAUGGAUGUGGUCAGCGGUGGUGUGCUCUGUAUGGAUGUGGUCAGGGGUAGUGUGCUCUGUAUGGAUGUGGUCAGGGGUAGUGUGCUCUGUAUGGAUGUGGUCAGGGGUAGUGUGCUCUGUAUGGAUGUGGUCAGGGGUAGUGUGCUCUGUAUGGAUGUGGUCAGGGGUGGUGUGCUCUGUAUGGAUGUGGUCAGCGGUGGUGUGCUCUGUAUGGAUGUGGUCAGCGGUGGUGUGCUCUGUAUGGAUGUGGUCAGGGGUGGUGUGCUCUGUAUGGAUGUGGUCAGGGGUGGUGUGCUCUGUAUGGAUGUGGUCAGCGGUGGUGUGCUCUGUAUGGAUGUGGUCAGGGGUAGUGUGCUCUGUAUGGAUGUGGUCAGGGGUAGUGUGAUCUGUAUGGAUGUGGUCAGGGGUAGUGUGAUCUGUAUGGAUGUGGUCAGGGGUAGUGUGCUCUGUAUGGAUGUGGUCAGGGGUAGUGUGAUCUGUAUGGAUGUGGUCAGGGGUAGUGUGAUCUGUAUGGAUGUGGUCAGGGGUAGUGUGCUCUGUAUGGAUGUGGUCAGGGGUAGUGUGAUCUGUAUGGAUGUGGUCAGGGGUAGUGUGCUCUGUAUGGAGUGGGAUGCCAUUUGGAAAUUAUUAAUUUGUUUCUACUUCCUGUCCCUCUACAUUUGGGUUUCUUUGGCGCUGCUCUUUUACAACUGUGCUUUUGGUUUAUCUAUUUCAUAAAUGACACCAGUGGAACAAAAUAAACUAUCAACCCUGAAAUUGUCUGUUUGUGUAACAUUAAUUCUGUGCUUAUAUUGGUCUUCAGUCAUUUUCAAGGUGGAUUAUACACUACAUUUUUAAGUCUGCUAAAUGGAAAUGUUUUUUGUAUAGCGUUACCGUCAGAGUGGGUUAACAGCCAAGACAUCUGCCAUUUUUGACAUUGACCCUGAGGCCAUUUCAUUUACUGGCUUACUCAAGGGCAGAUUGGCAGAUUUUCUCCUCAAGUUCAACUUCAGUUUUAUUUGUCAUUUGCAAUAACAAGUUAUGGGAAUUUAAUUCUUGGUUUUCCUACUCCCGACAGUGCAGUUAAAAUUUAAAAAGUGAGAGUAAUUAUAAUAUAUAAAUAAGAAAAUAACAUGAACUAACAAUAAUAACACUAUACAAAAACAUGUAUCAAUAAUAACUGAACAACCUUAGUGCAAUGUAGAAGUGACAGGUGUGUUUGAUAUAAAGUGACAGGUGUGUUUGAUAUAAAGUGACAGGUGUGUAUGAUAUAAAGUGACAGGUGUGCAUGAUAUAAAGUGACAGGUGUGCAUGAUAUAAAGUGACAGGUGUGCAUGAUAUAAAGUGACUGGUGUGCAUGAUAUAAAGUGACAGGUGUGUAUGAUAUAAAGUGACAGGUGUGCAUGAUAUAAAGUGACAGGUGUGCAUGAUAUAAAGUGACAGGUGUGAAUGAUAUAAAGUGACUGGUGUGAAUGAUAUAAAGUGACUGGUGUGCAUGAUAUAAAGUGACAGGUGUGCAUGAUAUAAAGUGACAGGUGUGUAUGAUAUAAAGUGACAGGUGUGCAUGAUAUAAAGUGACAGGUGUGCAUGAUAUAAAGUGACAGGUGUGCAUGGGACUAUAGAUGGAAGGGAAGAGGGGUUCCUGAGUUGAGCAGCCUUACAGCCUGUGGAAAGAAGCUGUCCCAUAGCCCGUUAGUUUUGGACUGAAUACUCCUGUACCUUCUGCCUGACGGCAGCUUGGUAAACAGUCCAUGUCAUGGGUGGCUGGGAUCUGUAAUGAUCCGUUUGCUCCUCCUCCUACACCUCUCUGUGUAGAGAUCCUGCAGGGAUGGCAGGUCAGACCUUGUGAAGCUCUCUGCUGUUUUAAUCACCCUUUGAAGUGCUUUACGGUCGAGGGCGGAGCAGCUGCCAUACACUUUGUUGUCUCUGGGCUCUGGCUAAACAUACCCUCUCCCUCUCUGUGUUCUGUAUCUUAGUGCAUUUGUGUGGGUGGACCCCCCCUGAGGAAGAGCAGCUCUGUUUUGUUGAUGUUGAGCUUGAAGAAAUGGGCCAACACCUAAGCAGAGGUGUCAGCCAGGCACACAGAAGUAAAGGAGAAUAGGAACACAGGAUAAAGCAUCAGCUUGGGAAGUGAACCGCUGACAAAAGCUGGCGGACUCAGUUGAGUUGUCAAUCUUGAAACCUCACUGGUUGAUUUCAGGGAGAAUCUAAAAGACAUUUGUUUUACAUUGUUUGGCCAAUACUGACCUGAAUUGUGCAUCAAGUGUUGUUUAACAAGUAACUCUACAUUAGCUUGAUCUUAGAUUUUUGUUGUUUCAGAUCUCUGAGUUUAAUGCAUUUAAAAUAGGUUAAUGGGUCAUUUUGCUUUCUCCCAGGGAGGCUCAGAUCAAUGGGCCUCAUUCACCAAAAUCUUCCUACGUUUCUAAUUAAAUGAAUUUCUUGAGAAAGGCUUUAAGAAAAGCUUUAUGACAUGUUCUUAAACCACAGAAUUGUUUCCUCCUUAUAAUGAUGAAUCCCAUUGUCUUUGUAAAUUGAUGGUCUUGGGAGGCAUACCCUUGGAGGGUCGCAGAGACCUCCAUGUGCUAGCCAGCGGUACCCUGACUGCUGUUAGGUACCGGGAUGAAAACCUCAGACCCAUCGUCAGACCUUAACCUGGUGCUGUGGGCCCUGGGUUCCUCCUGGUGCAGGACAAUGCCCGGCCUCAUGUGGCCAAAGUGUGUAUGCAGUUCCUGGAUGACGAAGGCAUUGAUGCCAUUGACUGGCCCUCAUUUUCCCCUGUCCUGAAAUCAAUUGAGACCCUCUGGGACGUUAUGUAUCAGUGCAUCCGACGCCGCCAAGAAAUGCCACAGACUGCCCAGGAGCUCACUGAUGCCCUGAUCCAGGUCUGGGAGGAGAUCCCCCAGGACACCAUCUGCCAUCUCAUCAGGAGCAUGCCCAGACGUUGUUGGGAGUGCAUACAGGCACAUGGAGGUCAUACACACUACUGAGUCACAUUGAGUCACUGUGAUGUAAUUCAUGCAAGUUGGAACAGCCUGUGAUUUCAGUUGUUUUCUUUGAUUUUCGGUGUGUUUGAAUCCAGCCCAGGUGGAUGGAGGUGGAUGAGGUGUGGUGGUGAUACAUCAAAAUCUUUGCUGUAUAUUGUGUAAUUCACUGAGAACAAAAUGAUGUAACAACGGUCAAUGGAAACCAAAAUCACCAACCGAUUGAGGGCUGGAUUCAAACUCACAACGAAAAUCAAAGUAAACAAUUGAAAUAACAGACUGUUUACUUUGAGACCCAAUGUAUGAUUUACAUGUUCCCUUAAUUUGUGGAGCAGUGAAAUUAGAUUUGGCUUUUAGAACAGGCCGAUCCGAAUGCUUUAUCAGGAGGGAUUUUGUAUUAUUAUUAAAGUGAUAAAUAGGGACACUGGUAUGGAUUUGUUCCCUCUAUUCACCUCUAUGACACACAGAAAAACACACGCAUGUAUUAACUGAGCUGCUAGCACAGUGCUACAGGAAGUGACCUGCCUUCCUUUCAGAGUGGAGGAUCCUGUCCUCUAUUGUCUGGUGGGUCGUUGUGGCGAUGGCCUGUAGGGGAGGGACUGCCGGACAUUUCCGUUAGCGAUGUGGAGCUGGCUACACCUACUGCCGUUUACCCAUCAGGCACCAGGUCUCAUGAUGUCUGUCUGUGUGUGUGUGUGUAUAAAUAUACAGCGUUGUUGUUUGAGGUCCUUACGGACCCUGACUGGGUAAUGACCUCAGGGGUAACUAUCUCAAGAUCAGUUGGAAAUCUGGAAACCUAAAGAAUGUUCUGUUUGAGUCAGACGCCAGUCUCCUCCACACCUCUCACCACCACACCUCCUCCCCCUCCACAGCUCCUCCACACCUCCCCCUCCAGACCUCCUCCACACCUCUCACCACCACACCUCCUCCCCCUUCACACCUCCUCCACACCUCUCACCACCACACCUCCUCCCCCUCCACACCUCCUCCACACCUCCCACUCCAGACCUCCUCCACACCUCUCACCACCACACCUCCUCCCCCUUCACACCUCCUCCACACCUCUCACCACCACACCUCCUCCCCCUCCACACCACCUCCACACCUCUCACCACCACACCUCCUCCCCCUCCAGACCUCCUCCACACCUCUCACCACCACACCUCCUCCCCCUCCACACCUCCUCCACACCUCCCCCUCCAGACCUCCUCCACACCUCUCACCACCACACUUCCUCUACCUCCAGACCUCCUUCCCCUCCACACCUCCCCCUCCAGACCUCCUCCACACCUCUCACCACCACACCUCCUCCCCCUCCACACCUCCCCCUCCAGACCUCCUCCACACCUCUCACCACCACACUUCCUCUACCUCCAGACCUCCUCCAAACUUAUCACCACCACACCUCCUCUACCUCCAGACCUCCUCCAAACUUAUCACCACCACACCUCCUCCCCCUCCAGACCUCCUCCACACCUCUCACUACCACACUUCCUCUACCUCCAGACCUCUUCCAAACUUAUCACCACCACACCUCCUCCACCUCCGGACCUCCUUCACACCUCUCACCACUACACCUCCUUUUCAGAUAUUAGGAAGUGAAUGACAGAGAACUUCUUGUUUUUAAACUCAAGAAAAACAGAAAUGCUCAUUUUAGGACCCAAAAAACAAAGAGCGUUGUUAGCAGAGCACACUGUGAACCUCGACGGCUGCAUGGUCGUAUCCCAAAAAACUGUAAAAAACCUUGGCGUUACCCUUGACCCUGACCUCUCCUUUGAAGAACAAAUAAAAUAUGUCUCAAGAGUUGCUUAUUUUCAUCUUCGAAACAUUGCAAAAAUCAGAAACUUUCUAUCAAAAACUGAUGCAGAAAAAGUAAUCCAUGCUUUCGUUACUUCUAGACUAGAUUACUUCAAUGCUCUUCUCUCUGGUUAUCCAGAAAAAUUUAUAAAUAAACUUCAAAAAACAUAAAAAUUUUAACACAUUACUCCUGUCCUAGCGUCCUUACACUGGCUGCCUGUUAGGGUUAGCGCUGAUUUUAAGGUUUUACUCCUAUAAAUCAAUACAUGGACUUGCUCCUACUUACCUUGCUGAAAUGAUCCAGCCAUACAUACCUACACGUGACCUACGAUCGCAAGAUGCAGGCCUUUUAAUUGUACCUAGAAUCUCUAAACAAACUGCCGGAGGCAGGGCCUUCUCUCAUAGAGCUCCACUACUGUGGAAUGAUCUGCCAAUUAAGGUUAGAAAUGCAAACUCAGUGCAAACUUUCAAGUGUCUACUAAAGACUCAUCUCUACAGCACGGUUUAUAAUUAGGUGUAGCCUGGCCCGGGGGCGUGAAUGUGACCAGAAAGUCUUCAUACUGUCCACCCUUGCUGUCUUGCCAGGUGGGCUCUCAUCACCACAUUUUACCUGUCUCCUGCCGUUUUAAACUUAGGACUGAGGACAUGAGGUCCUGGUCCCUGUCCAGAGUCCUCCUGGUUGUGUUGCAGAAUAAGAAGAUAGCUGAGAUUUCACCUGCCACUCUGCUGCCCCCCCCCUCCCGGGUUGUCCCUGUCCUUGUCCAUCUGGUCAUGCUUCUGACCUGGACUAUGUUUAAAUAGACUCUGGACUCAACCCGCAUGCAUUUAUUAAUUAUUACAAUUUGUACUCUUAAAAUGUUCACCCAGCACAGCCAGAAGACGACUGGUCCCCCCUCUGAGCCUGGGUCCUCUCUAGGUUUCUUCCUAAAUUACUGCUUUUUUUCCCUUUUUUCUAGCAACACUACAACACUUCAGUUGUUUGCUCCUUGUGGUUUAAGGCCGGGUGUUUUGUAAAAGCACUUUGUGACAACUGCUGAUGUAAAAAGGGCUUUAUAAAUACAUUUGAUUGAUUGAUUGACCUCCUCCACCUCCAGACCUCCUCCACACCUCCCACCACCACACCUCCUCCACCUCCAGACCUCCUCCUCACCUCCCACCACCACACCUCCUCCACCUCCAGACCUCCCACCACCACUCCUCCUCCACCUCCAGACCCCCUCCAUACCUCCUCCACCUCCAGACCUCCUCCACACCUCCUACCACCACACCUCCUUCAACUCCAGACCCCCUCCAUACCUCCUCCACCUCCAGACCUCCUCCACACCUCCCACCACCACACCUCCUUCACCUCCAGACCACCUUCACCCCUCCUUCCAGAAAGAUAUGUUGUCUGACUCUCACCUGAAUUCCAACUUUACAUUUUUUUAUUUCUUGUGCUUUAAAAAAAUACAAAAUGUUAACCUAAUAUUUUGCAUUGAAUAUUAAUCAUAUAUCAAACAUGAGGACAUAAGACACUGCGCCUCCUCCAGAUGUAGUUUCUCCAGUGAACACUAGGUGGAGUUACAACCUCUGCUCUUCCCAACAGACUCCUCCAUUACAUCCCACAGUGGCACCGCUGCUAUGGAACACACAGACCUGAUCUCAUCUGUAGAGGGUGUGUCUGGUGUGUCAAGGUGUGUGUAAUGGAUCCUAAUUCUGCUUCUUCUCUGAAGUGACAAGGAAACAAAGAGAGAGAGAGAGAGGGAACAAAACCCAUGCUGACAGAAGGAGAGAGGGAGGAGGGGGAGGCUGAUGGAGAGACUGGGAUGGGAGAGGGAGG
ensembl:lncRNA